rnacentral:tRNA from 1 species
CUGGUUGGAAGGGUAGCGCACUAGCAUGGGGUGCUAGGGGUCGAGUGUUCGAAUCACUCCGUCCCGACCA